GGCUUCCAAUCUUCCAUUCUGUCGGGUCUCAUACAAGUCACAACCCUAGAGAUUGCGUGGGCAGAGCGGAGAAGAAAAAGGGGAAUCGCGAAGUCAGUCAACGAUGUGUUGUGGAGAAGACGGUGAAUGCCGGCCGUUGGGGUUUCUGUUAGGCCUCCCUUUCGCCUUCGUCGCCCUCAUCCUCUCCGUCGUCGGCGCCGCCAUCUGGAUCGUCGGGAGUUUGGUGAGUUGCGUGUGCCCGUGCUGCUUUUGUAUAACGUGGAUCGUAGAGUUGGCCGUGUCGCUGAUCAAGGCUCCAUUUUCGGUGAUCAAAUGGUUCACUGAACAAAUCCCUUGUUAAUCAAGGUGCACUCUGUAUCAUCCUUUUUUUUUUUCCUUACUGCUGCCCUGUAUAAUAAUUUACACCACAGUCUUCUUCCUCACUUUGAUCUUUUUGUGGAUCGUUAACAUCACGGCUUAAAUAAUCAUUCUUACAGGUUUAUUAUGGAUGAUGAUUAAUAUUUAGUUUAUUUUUGAUU